rnacentral:rRNA from 1 species
UACGGAGGUGGCAAGCGUUGCUCGGAAUCACUGGGCGUAAAGAGCGUGUAGGCGGUCCGGUAAGUCCGCUGUGAAAGUCGGGGGCUCAACCCUCGAAUGCCGGUGGAUACUGUCGGGCUAGAGUGCGGAAGAGGCGAGUGGAAUUCCUGGUGUAGCGGUGAAAUGCGCAGAUAUCAGGAGGAACACCUAUUGCGAAGGCAGCUCGCUGGGACGUAACUGACGCUGAGACGCGAAAGCGUGGGGAGCAAACAGG